GAUGAACGCUGGCGGCGUGCCUAAUACAUGCAAGUCGAGCGAACGGACGAGAAGCUUGCUUCUCUGAUGUUAGCGGCGGACGGGGGAGUAACACGUGGAUAACCUACCUAUAAGACUGGGAUAAUUUCGGGAAACCGUAGCUAAUAACGGAUCAUAUUUUGUACCGCAUGGUUCAAAAGUGAAAGACGGUCUUGCUGUCACUUAUAGAUGGAUCCGCGUUGCAUUAGCUAGUUGGUAAGGUAACGGCUUACCAAGGCAACGAUGCAUAGCCGACCUGAGAGGGUGAUCGGCCACACUGGAACUGAGACACGGUCCAGACUCCUACGGGAGGCAGCAGUAGGGAUUCUUCCGCAAUGGGCGAAAGCCUGACGGAGCAACGCCGCGUGAGUGAUGAAGGUCUUCGGAUCGUAAAACUCUGUUAUUAGGGAAGAACAUAUGUGUAAGUAACUGUGCACAUCUUGACGGUACCUAAUCAGAAAGCCACGGCUAACUACGUG
rnacentral:rRNA from 1 species